GAGACAAGCAUAUGACUACUGGCAGGAUCAACCAGGUAGCGUUCCUUCGCGACGCCGACGCCCGCACGACGCCCGACGGGCCGUGAGGCCGRGGGCUCGAGACYGGCAUGGCAGUCGUUCUGUUCGCGUCGAGGGACAAAAUGCGAUGCUCCGGCGAACGYAGCCUGUUGUAACAGACCCCACGCCCGCGCGUAACGUUCCGCAUCCGAGAGAACGGGCAUAGCACACCGUGGGCCGAGGCYGCCAAGCGACUGGGCGAGGCCUGCCGGGAACACGGUGCGUGCCUCACGUCCACCCCGCAACCCGCGAGGGCUGGGGGCGGAGAGGGACGAACGAGACCGUCGGAUUCCUUUCGAUAGGUAAGCAACACAGGAUACCGAA
rnacentral:misc_RNA from 1 species